rnacentral:rRNA from 1 species
UGGGGAAUAUUGCACAAUGGGCGCAAGCCUGAUGCAGCCAUGCCGCGUGUAUGAAGAAGGCCUUCGGGUUGUAAAGUACUUUCAGAGGGGAGGAAGGGAGUAAAGUUAAUACCUUUGCUCAUUGACGUUACCCGCAGAAGAAGCACCGGCUAACUCCGUGCCAGCAGCCGCGGUAAUACGGCGGGUGCAAGCGUUAAUCGGAAUUACUGGGCGUAAAGCGCACGCAGGCGGUUUGUUAAGUCAGAUGUGAAAUCCCCGGGCUCAACCUGGGAACUGCAUCUGAUACUGUCAAGCUUUAGUCUCGUAGGGGGGGGUAGAAUUCCAGGUGUAGCGGUGAAAUGCGUAGAGAUCUAGGAGAAUACCGGUGGCGAAAGCGGCCCCCUGGACGAAGACUGACGCUCAAGUGCGAAAGCGUGGGGAGCAAACAGG